AACCGUGAAUACCUGUCAACGCAACGCGUCAUCCUUAACAACCAAUUUAGUCUGUUAAAUUGGUCAUUGGCUUAAUUUUAGAUUCUGAAAUGCAGAAGUAUAUGUGUAUAGCAGCUAGAAGUUAGUACUAACAAGAAACAGACCAAAGUGGUACACAUCUCUGCAAUCACUUUACAAAAUUUAAUCAAAGUUAUUUUGAAAAUAUUGGCAAACUCUGAUACAAGAAAGAUGUCAUUUCAAGAAAGAUCCAGUCAGAAGAAAUCCAAUGUUUUGAAACACCACAAACAAGGAAAUCAAAGCUGCAGUUAGUCGUUUGAACUGGUUUCCUGACAAAUUCAAG